rfam:Echinicola vietnamensis DSM 17526, complete genome.
AUGGAGGAAGCCGAAAAUCCCGAUAAGAGUAGGCA